GAGCACGUAGGUGGGUUUGUAAGUCAGAUGUGAAAGCCUUCUGUUCAACGGAAGAAUUGCAUCUGAAACUGCGAGUCUUGAGUGUAGGAGGGGAGAAUGGAACUUCUGGUGGAGCGGUGAAAUGCGUAGAUAUCAGAAGGAACGCCGGCGGCGAAAGCGAUUCUCUGGCCUAUUACUGACACUCAGUGUGCGAAAGCUAGGGGAGCAAACGGGAUUAGAUACCCCGGUAGCCCUAGCCGUAAACGAUGGGCACUAAGUAGAGGGG
rnacentral:rRNA from 1 species